rnacentral:tRNA from 1 species
CGGCAUGUAGCGCAGCCUGGUAGCGCACCGUCAUGGGGUGUCGGGGUCGGAGGUUCGAAUCCUCUCAUGCCGACCA